CACAGCCACCUUUCAGACGUGAUUAUUUCUUCCUGCUUCUGCCUGAUGCAAGACAUCGAAGAGGAGAGGAUCUGGGAAGGAGAGGAUCUGGGAGGAUGGAGUCUAGAUCACAAGGGAACAUACAGCCAGAAGCCAGAGAGCUUUGAAUCUUUGAAGGACAGAAACCCCAUUGCUGUUGGAAGAUGGAGAAGGUGACAAGAAGAAGCACAGGCAGCCGGAAUAUGUCAUGGCUUUU
rnacentral:lncRNA from 1 species